CCUGGUUGAUCCUGCCAGUAGUCAUAUGCUUGUCUCAAAGAUUAAGCCAUGCAUGUCUAAGUACACGCCCUAGCAAGGCGAAACCGCGAAUGGCUCAUUAAAUCAGUUAUGGUUCCUUAGAUCGUACACAUUUACUUGGAUAACUGUGGUAAUUCUAGAGCUAAUACAUGCAAUUGAGCCCUCGUCCCUUUUAGGGUGAGGGUGCUUUUAUUAGACCAAGACCAAACGGGGGCAACUCCGAUAGUCGUGGUGACUCUGAAUAACUAUGGCGGAUCGCACAGUCCUAGCACUGGCGACGCAUCUUUCAAGUGUCUGCCUUAUCAACUUUCGAUGGUAGGUUAUGCGCCUACCAUGGUUGUUACGGGUAACGGGGAAUCAGGGUUCGAUUCCGGAGAGGGAGCCUGAGAAACGGCUACCACAUCCAAGGAAGGCAGCAGGCGCGCAAAUUACCCACUCCCGGCACGGGGAGGUAGUGACGAAAAAUAACAAUACGGGACUCUAACGAGGCUCCGUAAUUGGAAUGAGUACACUCUAAACCUUUUAACGAGGAUCUAUUGGAGGGCAAGUCUAGUGCCAGCAGCCGCGGUAACUCUAGCUCCAAUAGCGUAUAUUAAAGUUGUUGCGGUUAAAAAGCUCGUAGUUGGAUCUCAGUCGCGCUCCCUUCGAUGCGUUGCAAAGCGUCUAUCGUUGGGGCCGACAGCACGUUGGUGGGCCCGGUUGGCUUUUACCGGUUGAUCGGGUUCUCCGGCAAUUUUACUUUGAAAAAAUUAGGGUGCUCAAAGCAGGCUGGUGCCUGGAUAUUGGUGCACUGACUUAGCUACAAAAGAAAUGGCCGCCUCUGACAUGUACAGUCGCUCUUAACAUGGAGUACAAAUACGUCCCAUGUUCUUGAAUCAGAAGACCUUAAAGGGUACUAUCAGACGGGCCAGCUGAGCCCAUGGUUUUUAGCAAGUUUGUUACUGCUCCCCCUCCUCUUUUUUCAUCCGGGCUUGGAACCGUCAAAAGCAGAGUUAUUCUAUAAAAGUAAAAAUGAAAAGAGAAAGUGAAAGUGUUUCUUUUUUCUGUAAAACGACUAGGCUUCGAAUAUGAGUUUUUAUUAGGCCUAAAAAUAACCCGUAAAUAACCAUUGGAAACUAUAUUACUCCGCGAUGGUCACGUGAUGUGUCAGGACCAAUCAGGAUGGUUUUAUGUGUCGACCGGUCGCUAUUCUGGUGAAGUGUAGCUGAAUGAACUGUCUAUCUUCUGUGAAUGUUGUUUGGCAUUGAACUGUUUGGGAAACUGCUGUGAUACCUUCUCCAAUGUAAAAAAUAUAUAUGGUUUUAUAUUUAUAAACUCAACUGCCAUCUAUCGAUAAAAUGUGGAAUAAUUUUAUUCGGCAAUGUGUUUAUUUGACAAAUAUUAUCUCUAAAUACCUCUCUUACACUCAUGGACAGAAUUUAAGGAAGUUGUACCUUUUACCAUGUAUAUCGGGACAAUAACUCUGAAAGAUAUUACAGUGACCUCAAUUGAAGACAUACGAGAUAACCAAGUGUGAACAACCUCUGUCUCCUUUUAAAAAACAGAUACUCGGUGACAUCACAAUAGGAAAAUUUCUUAAGUUUUACCCAUGAGUAUAUUUGAUAAUAUAUGCCAAAAGAAACCCAAUGCCAAACCUAUGUCGCCAACAGGAGCAGCAGGAAAUGUCAUAUGUGAUUUUA
rnacentral:rRNA from 1 species